CCUACGGGAGGCAGCAGUGAGGAAUAUUGGUCAAUGGCCGGAAGGCUGAACCAGCCAUGCCGCGUGAAUGUCAGUGCCCUAUGGGCGUUAAACUUCUUUUGUGCGGGAGCAAUAAUGGUCACGUGUGGCCAGACGAGAGUACCGUACGAAUAAGCAUCGGCUAACUCCGUGCCAGCAGCCGCGGUAAUACGGGGGAUGCAAGCGUUAUCCGGAUUUAUUGGGUUUAAAGGGUGCGUAGGCUGUGAGGUAAGUCAGCGGUGAAAUGCCCCCGCUCAACGGGGUGAAGUGCCAUUGAUACUGCCUGGCUGGAAUGCGGAUGCGGUGGGAGGAAUGUGUGGUGUAGCGGUGAAAUGCAUAGAUAUCACACAGAACACCGAUUGCGAAGGCAUCUCACGAAUCCGCGAUUGACGCUGAUGCACGAAAGCGUGGGUAUCAAACAGGAUUAGAUACCCCAGUAGUC
rnacentral:rRNA from 1 species